rnacentral:misc_RNA from 1 species
GUAGGUGAACCUGCGGAAGGAUCAUUAACACGUAUCCAAACGUAAACCCCCCCGUGAAUAUUGAAGUUGCUCUCGUCUUCGGCCUGGAAUGGUCUUGCGAUAUGAUGCGCGCCCCGCUGGUAUCUCACAUGUUUGUUAUGACUCAGCGUGCCGCGCAACUAGCGAGAUAGUUUCAACCUGAUUUCGAUAUGAUGCGGCACUGUUACAAGUACUGGCUCGGUUGCCCCUGUUCCUUGUCUGAAAGUGUCCG